AUUGAGCGCUGGCGGCAGGCCUAACACAUGCAAGUCGAGCGGCAGCGGGACCUUCGGGUUGCCGGCGAGCGGCGGACGGGUGAGUAAUGCCUAGGAAUCUGCCUGUUAGUGGGGGAUAACGCGGGGAAACUCGCGCUAAUACCGCAUACGUCCUACGGGAGAAAGCGGGGGCUCUUCGGACCUCGCGCUAACAGAUGAGCCUAGGUCGGAUUAGCUAGUUGGUGGGGUAAUGGCCCACCAAGGCGACGAUCCGUAACUGGGCUGAGGGGAUGAUCAGCCACCCUGGAACUGAAACGCGGUCCAGAGCCCCACGGGAGGCAGCAGUGGGGAAGCUUGCGCAAUGGACGAAAGUCUGACGCAGCCACGCCGAGUGAGUGAAGAGGGCCUUCGGGUUGUAAAGCUCUGUCGGAAGGGACAAAAACGUUUACGGUUAAUAGCCGUAGAUCUUGAUGGUACCUUUAAAGGAAGCACCGGCUAACUUCGUGCCAGCCGCCGCCGCGG
rnacentral:rRNA from 1 species